GGAUGUUCAAAUAAAUACAACAUAUGCUGAAGAUUUGCGUAAAAAGAUAUAGAACAAUGAAACACACGAUAGUUUUUACUAUGAAGACUUAUACUCCACCAGAAAAGACUCUGGGACUACACAUGUAUCAGUAAUUUUGUCAACUGGAGAUGCUAUGUCUGUCACUACACAGUUGGUUAUUGUUUUGGUGCAAAGAUUCGAUCCUAUACAACAGGGAUAGUCUACAACAAUCAUAUGAGUUCAUUUUCGUUACCAAAUACAUCAAAAAGUUAUCAACCAAAAGCGUCAAAAGCCAAGUUUAUUCAGUCUGGGAAACGCUCUGUAUCAACAGCUUGUCCAACUAUAGUUGUUGAUUCAAAAGGUGACGUGAAAAUGGUUCUUGGUGGUUCGGGGGGAUCGAGAAUAAUAACUGGUGUGGCUGUAGAUCUGGGACACAAAAUGAAAGGAUCACGAUGAUUCUCUGUCGUUCAAGGAAUUUAUAGAACUAAAUCGGGAUACCUAUUUGCAAAAUAUGAUCCAAGAAAAGGUGGUGUUGCUGUUGUUUUGCCGUAACAAUAACGUUGAUUAAUUAAAGACGGAUGAGUGAAUAAAGGAGAGAUAGUUAAAGAAGCCAAAGUCUUAGAGAAUCUUUUGCGUGAUGUCUUUGAUUGAGACUGUGAGACUCGAUGCAUUCUGUAAUAAUAAUAUAAAUAUCAAUUUCUACAUAGUAAUAUCAAUAUUUAGUUUUUUCACGAAUUUGUUUUAUAAAUGUCAUUUUAUAGUAUUUUUUAGUUAACGUGUUGACCUCAAGAAAAACAUACAUUAAACUGCUCUAAAUAAUAAUAACAUAUAUUUGCUUGUAAUUUUUCAAA